UCGCCAUGGCGGCACAUAUACUAAAAUUGGAUCGAUACAGAGAAGAUUAGCAUGGCCCCUGCGAAAGGAUGAAACGCAAAUCCGUCAAGCGCUCCAUCUUUAA
rnacentral:snRNA from 1 species